UACGGAGGGUGCAAGCGUUGUCCGGAUUUAUUGGGUUUAAAGGGUGCGUAGGCGGCUUUAUAAGUCCGUGGUGAAAGCCAGCAGCUCAACUGUUGAACUGCCAUGGAUACUGUAGGGCUUGAGUACAGACGAGGUAGGCGGAAUUGAUGCUGUAGCGGUGAAAUGCAUAGAUAGCAUCAAGAACACCGAUUGCGUAGGCAGCUUACUAGGCUGUAACUGACGCUGAGGCACGAAAGCGUGGGGAGCAAACAGG
rnacentral:rRNA from 1 species